rnacentral:lncRNA from 1 species
UCAAUAUAACUAUAUGUGGAAUCAGACUUGAUUGCAUAUCCCAUCAAGGGUUAAUUGUGGUGACUCUGCCAUAAGGAUAACCAUAGUGUAACCUUGUCACAUGGAUUAAAUGUGGCAAACCUAUGAUAGAGGUAAGCGUAGUGGAACCCUCGCAUGGGUUAAAUGUGGUAACCCUGCUAUGAGGGUGAGCAAGACGUGACCUAAGUCGUAGGAGCUAAUCACGGUCAUGUGAUCAAUAUUUUGAUUAAAAAGCCCAUAUCAUUCGGGUAAAUGUGAAGUAACACAAACUAUGGUCCAAUGUGGAGAGACAGACAUUGCAGGGGUCAAGUAC